rnacentral:snoRNA from 1 species
UCCCAAUGAAGAAACACUCCCACAUCUUACUUCCUGUCCUAGUCCCAGAGCCUGUAAAGGUGAACCCACUGGGGCUGGCUGGGGGAGAAGAGGAAAUGUGUUCCAGAAGGAACUGUCUGAGGGAC